GGGGAAGUUUUGGCUUCGAUUAGAGUAUUUUGAUUUUAGUUGCAUGUCGGUCUGAGCAUAUCGUUAAGCGGCUCAAAAAAAUGUUUAAAUGCAAACAAUAACACAUAUAUGCCUCAAAGGGUUGCAGCUUAAUUAGCUCCCCUGUUUCUUAAUUGAAACGGGCAUUGCUUCACCUACAGAUUAGCUGUUAGAGUAGGGUUUGAAGUAUAACAAAACAAACAGAUAUAUCUUGAUAAUUAUCUUUUAAGUCAAGACUAAUAAAUAAAAGAUCGUUUAUUUAAAGUUUAGUUGUACUUUAUUUAAAUUAAAUCAAACUACUAAAAAGCAUGUAUAGAUAUUAAAGUCAAAUAUUUUAAGACACGGGUUCGAACCCCGUCUUCUCCACCA
rnacentral:tmRNA from 1 species